rnacentral:rRNA from 1 species
GCGUAAUAAGGGCGUAUGGCGGAUGCCUAGACACCAAAUGACGAUGAAGGACGUAGCAGUCUGCGAUAAUCUUCGGCGAGGUGACAAGCAACCUUUGACCCGGAGGUCUCCGAAU